GCGAGUGAAGCGGCAAAAGCUCAAAUUUGAAAUCUGGUACCUUUGGUGCCCGAGUUGUAAUUUGGAGAGUACCACUUUGGGACUGUACUUUGCCUAUGUUCCUUGGAACAGGACGUCAUGGAGGGUGAGAAUCCCGUGUGGCGAGGGUGUCAGUUCUUUGUAAAGGGUGCUCGAAGAGUCGAGUUGUUUGGGAAUGCAGCUCUAAGUGGGUGGUAAAUUCCAUCUAAAGCUAAAUACAGGCGAGAGACCGAUAGCGAACAAGUACAGUGAUGGAAAGAUGAAAAGAACUUUGAAAAGAGAGUGAAAAAGUACGUGAAAUUGUUGAAAGGGAAGGGCAUUUGAUCAGACAUGGUGUUUUGCGCCCCUUGCCUCUCGUGGGCUUGGGACUCUCGCAGCUCACUGGGCCAGCAUCGGUUUUGGCGGCCGGAAAAAACCUAGGGAAUGUGGCUCUGCGCCUCGGUGUAGAGUGUUAUAGCCCUGGGGAAUACGGCCAGCCGGGACCGAGGACUGCGAUACUUGUUAUCUAGGAUGCUGGCAUAAUGGUUAUAUGCCGCCCGUCUU
rnacentral:rRNA from 1 species